rnacentral:lncRNA from 1 species
CAUGAACCGCAUUACAAAAUAAUAUAACUUCACUGGUCCAUUAGGGUUGCUUCUAAACCUGAUAAAGGGAUGGAUUGCUCAACAGACUUCCGAGAGAGCUAGAGGUCGAGCCUGAGCAGAGGAUUUUUCACAUCAGGCUCAUCAUUUUCACACUCAACCCACCCAAGAGAACCCAAAACUAAAGGUCUAAACAAAACCUAACCUUAAGGCCCGUAAUUACAACUCAUACAGCUUAGGCAUACCCUCCGCCAUUUAUUUCUUCUUCCUCUUCCUCUUCUUCUUCUUCUUCUUCUUUUUGGGUCAAAAGGAGGGCAGUGCCCUAGGGAAUUAUUACAAUUUACAAAGGAACCAUCGUGGGGGUAGUAACCAUAGGAGCUUCCAUAAAAUACAUAUACAAGGAAUGAGCAUGGGUGGCCAACCAAUCAACACAACACACCCAAUUCUUGUCUGUGUUUUCUUUUUCCAAAUCACAGCUCUCUCCCCUCCCUCUUCUACUAGUAAGUCUGCCAAAUAUACAAGCUGCAAGCAAAUGCAACGAGGAGGACACCUAUAAUGGAGAAACCAAGGAUAUUGACUUGAGGUGGGGUAGAACAGAUAAUUUGGAAACUGGGGUUUGGCAUCAUCCAAAACAACAAAUGCUAUGGAAGCAUGAAAGCCUGAAGUGUGUUUAGGAGUAUGGAUAUGAAUUGAAUAUUAAAGUACGAAGGUUUAGAAACAGUAUUUGGAUUUGAAUUGAGCACGAAUCGCGAUGACCAGUAGUGUAUAUAUGAAAUUGAACAUAGAUAAAUCCUCAAGAGAUUCUGUAAUGAAGUUCUUCACUGGCGGAAAUUGGGGGGCAUUCAGAUCUAGCUCUGCUGCUGAUAUCAAGCCCCUGCAACUAUGUGAGAGGAUCCUGUAGCAACAUCUCUGGCAGGCAUGAGAAGGGGAAGCAGCAAUCUCUGGCUGAUGAGGUGACAAGUUAGACCGGAGAUGAUGAAACUGUGGGGUUUGAAUGUUUAAUGGUGAAAUAACGUGAAUUUUUUUUUAAAUUAAUAUUUUUUAUUUUUUUAUCGUUUUAAUAUGAUAAUAUAAAAAAUAAUUUAUUUAAAAAAAAAAUUCUGAUAACUUUAUAAAUAAAAAACAAAUUAAAAAAUAACUGUUAGCACACUCUCAAACAUCUUCUAAAUGAUGAACUUAGGUGAAAGCAUGUGAGAAUGGUUAUAUGGAAUAUGAUGCAUCCCCAAAUUAUAGCUAUCUGUUGGUGCCAUAAUUUCUCCAGUAGCAAACUUCAGUCUCUCUAUUUCCUUCUUCAAUGCUUCAUUCAGAGCUAUAUAUCAGAAUCAUACAACCAAAAACACAGUCAAGAAACUUCCUGUUCUAUAUCUCAAAUGAAAGAAAAUAACCAGAGAACAAUGAUACCCGACAAAAACAAAAGUGCAAGUGGGUUGACUUUACAUCUCAUUGCAUAUUGGUGGAUAUAGACCAUAAAAUCUAAGCUAGAAAGCACAUCUAGUAUGUUAGUGAUAUCUAAAGAGAAAACAUUACAGAUAGUGAAUCAAGUUGAUGUGCCUGCUAGAAACACCAUCAUAAUUGGUAAUGACAAGUUGAAUGACAUUCAUUAUUUGGGAAACAUAUGCUUUGGAGUUACAAGUAGCACCAUUUUUUGGAGGCAUGUGUCACACCAGAACAGCAUAACAGCCUCCACUGCAUAAAAUGCUAAAUUGUCUGCUAAGAACUUUCCAAGAAAGAUGCAUCCAACAAUAGAGAAGCGAUUAGCAAUUAAAGCAGAGCAAAGUAAAAGCAUACCGUCAUGUAAUUCAGCCUGUUGUUCCAUAGCUUGUAAUCGAAGCUUAAGCUCUGAGUUCUCAGUAGUCAGACUUGAUGUAUCCCUCUGAAAUGAGAACACAAGACCAAAAUUAAUGGCAGUUUAGAUACUUAGAAACUCUUAUUCAUAGCCUUCAAAGCAUACAAGAUUUGUGCAUCAUUGCCAAACCUGGAAUAGUGUAAGUUGGUAUGCACUUUUCUUUCAAGUUCGGAUACAUACGAUAUCGGGCUCUCUUUCAAGCGAGCAGCAGACUGCCUAUUGGCCAUAAUCCUAGAUAGUUUCAGAGGAAAUUUAUAGAAUUUAUACUUUUUUAUUCAUCUGCAUGUAAAUCAGAUUAAUCAAAAUCAAUUCCAUGAUUAAUAAAGAAUCACUCUUUAGAGUAUCAUGGACAGGCUACAUAAUAUACUUCAAAAAAUAGAUAAUUUGAGAUAAAUUAAUAAAAAUAAAAUACCAUGAAAAGCUUUCGAUAGUUUCCUAGCUCAUUGUUAUAAAGUCAAAGGGUUCAUAUUCAGAAAAAGAAGUAACCUAAGAAACGUUAAAAAAAAAAAAAAACCUGAGAUAUUAAGGUAGUAAAGCAUUAAAAGCCAAUUCAUCCCUGGAGUUCUUAUUCAAACUUUUGGAAGAGAUGUAUUUGGUCUUCAUUUAAAUGUAUGGCAUUGAUUUUUCAUCGCAUAGCAUUGAUGCAACAGAAACAAAUAACUUAAAAACAUGCUUAACCUUAGAGACGCGAGCUGAAAAAUGACAGAACAAAUCUGGCAAGCUUCAUUGGCUAAGUAGAAAGAUGGGAUUAUGCGAGAGGAAAGGACAGAACUGGACAUUAAGAUAUCAAUCAGAAAAACUCAUCCACUGUAGGCUUCCCGAGGACUUGAUAAUGUCAAAACCAACAUCCCUAUCAGUAAUAAGUUUCAGAAUCCAUUGACGAAAUACGUCUAGCAAUCACAGUACCUAAAUGCAUAGAGCGGGCAUGCACUGAAUUCUCAUAUACUUCCAAAACUACAUAAUCCAUCAAUUAGUAAGUUACAUCAACUAAACCUCAAUCCCAACCAAACCCACCUUGAUAUCAAGAGAUUUGAGCUCCUUCCAUACUGCUUCCCUUUAUGUUAGCGAUUUGGAAGUUUUUUAUAAAAAAAAGAAAAGAAAAAUUAAGCAGCUUCUUAAUUUUUGGUUGCAACAUUUUAUGCUCUCCACAUGAGCAUUGCUUUCUCUAGAAGAAAGGAAGAAAGUUAGCCAUAAACUACAAGCCCCCUGAUUCGACGAGAUAAGAUAAAAUUCGAGGGGGGGCGCAAAUAAACAGAAUUAUUUAAUGAUUGAUUCAAGGCAAAACAUGUACAUAAAGCAAAAGGAAAGUACCUUUUGGCUCGUUAGGAUCAAGAGCCCACAACUCAGCGAGUUUUUCAGGAGCCAUAGCCUUUUUUUGAGUCAAUAGAUUCCGUUAAAGAAGACCCAUCAACUGAAUAGCUAUACUUAUGCCUCAGCUUCACAUUUGUUGCUUUCUCAUCCACACAUUGAACCCCAUUGCCAGCAGCAGCAGCUGGCUCAUGACCCGCAUUGUCCUGUUUCAGACAAGAUCCAAGUUUGUCAAAGUCCAUAUAAGAGCAGAAGAAGUCAUCAGGAACCAGAUCCAAUUCAUCGGUGACCCGGAAUUGGACCUCUGAGUGGACCUGCCUGUGAAUAGAGGUUCGAAAUGGAAAUGCUGAAGCAUCUGAGUUGGAGAAAUCUUGCCUUCUUUUCUUCUUUUAACAAGGACGGACCAAUCUUCCCUUCUCUCUCUCACUUUUUAAUUUAGAAGAAGAAGAAAAGAGAGAAGAAGGAGAAGAAUUGUGGGUUGUCUUCUCCUUCUUGUUCGUGCUUGCUCUGUCACAUUGGCAUCGGGGGAGGAGUGCAGGUGGGUUUUUCAGCUUCUUAUGAGUUUUUGUCUUUGUCGAGAGGAUUUUGGUUACUGCGUUUUUGGGCAUUUUUGCCUUUGCGUUUAUAUACCAAACCAUGAGAUUGUUUUCAGAGCCUUAACAACCAAUAUGUAAAUCCUACGUUCAAAUUAAGGUUGCCCAUUCCGUUGGUGUUCUAUAUUUUUCAUUAAAAUGGUAUGUUUUGGUUUCUGAUCAUUUUUAGUUUGCCGUUCCAGAAUAUAUAUAUAUAUAUAUAUAUAUAUUAAUUCAAUAAAUAUAAUUUCAAUUUAAAUUUAAAAUUAAAUUAACUUGAAAUUAUAUUUUUAAAUUUCAAAUAUAAGUAAAAAUAUAAAAGUUGACUCGAUGUAAUCUGAUCAAUUUAAUUUGUCCAAAAACAACUUGGAUGACUAGUAAAAUAUAGUUUGACUAGAAAAAAACUUAAAAUAACAUUUUUUUUAAAAAAAAAUAUUAAGACGACAAUGUAUUAGAUCAAUCUAAAUCAUAAAACCAUAAAAUAACCUAAGUCUACUCAAGUUAACUCUCAAAAUUUGUUAUCUGGAUCAUGAGACUGAAAUAAUUUCAUGGAAAAUAAACCAAAAUAAAUGUCAAAGCAUAAUUCAUAAUCAAUCAAAUGCUGAAAAUGUUAAAUAAUAAAAUUGAAAAAAAAUCAAUUAAAAAAAAUAAAUAUAAAACUUAAGUCAAUUAGAUUAACUUGUCAAACUAAUGACAUGACUCAUGAGACUAAGAUAAUCAUAAAAAAAAAAAACAAACCAUAAUAAAUUAUGAAGUUCAAUCUCUAAUAAGCCAAGUGUUGAGAGAUGAAAUUAGAUAAAAAAACAUAGAUUUUUCCAUUCUGGUUUCGUUUUGCAAAAUUAAAAAAAAAAAGCAAAAAAAACACUAUUUGACCGGAACAGAACGAUACAACCAAAAUGGAACCGGAAAGUUCCAGCUGGAAUUUUCAAAACAGGCUGAGAUUUUAAACAAGAUGGAUUUUGUUCUAGUUUGUUCUAUUUUUUGAACUUGAACGAGAUAUACCAACCAUUCAAGGUGGAACAGAACGAAAUUGACAACCUUGAUUCAAAUGGCAAAAUCCCAAGUUCUAUUUAAAUUAUUCCAGAUCUCAAUUAGUGAAGAUUUUUUUUAUAAAUUAGCAUUGUGGUGGAUGGAAAAUAAAAAAUCAUCUAUUGUUUGGUAUAAUAAUAGUAAUUACAAGCACUAGAUAAUUGCUUGUGCUAUACUACGGGUUGGAUUAAAUUUUUUCUGGACAUAAAAAAUAUUCAGGUGUUGUUAAUAUGUUUUUUAGUAAAAAAAAAAAUUAAAACUAUAUAGGGAUUGACUUAAUGUGACCUAAUCGACUUGACAGGUUAAAAAACAACUCGAAUGACUGAGAAAAAUGUAGUUUAACUAAAAUAAAAUCAAGACGACAUCUUUUUUAAGUAUUGAAAUGACAAUAUAUUUGAUCGACUUGGAUCAACUCGAGUUAACCUAUCAAAUAUGUUACCCAGGUCAUGAUACCCUAAUAAACCUAUAGAAAGCAAAUUAAAAAAAAAAUUAUUAAACCGAAUUCUCUCCAUUAUUAAAUAAUGAAAUUGAAAACUAAGUGCAACUAAAAAAAUAAUCGAGUUAACUCAGGUUAACCUUCCAAACCUAGAUCAUGAGAUCAAGAUAAUCAUAUAAAAAGCACAUCGAAAAAAAUUAUAAAGCAUAAUUCACAAUCAACCCAAUAUUGAAAGAUGAAAUUAAAAAAAAGAGACACAAAAAAUCAUCAAAGUCAACAAAACAAACUUGUGAUCUGGAUCAUAAGAGUAAGAAAACCACAUAGAACACACAUUGAAAUAAAUUAUGAAGUCUAAUUAUCAAUCAACCUAAUAUUGAAGGAUGAUAUUGAAAAAAAAUCAACUAAAAAGAAAAAAAAAACUAAGUUGACUAAUUUAACCUGCGACCCAAGUUAUAACAUUGUGUUAACCCUCUAUAAAGCAAAUAAAAAAUAAAUUAUAAAACUCAAUUCUCAAUCAACCUAUUAAAUUGAAAAUAAAACCAAAUAAAAAAAGGACAAAAACAAUGACCCGAGUCAACCUAGGUAAACUAGUCAAACUCAGCUAAGAAGACUAAGAUAACUUAAAAGAAAGUAAAUCGAAAUAAAUUAUAAAGUCUAAUACCUAGUAAAUCUAAUUUUGAAGAAUAAAAUUAAAAAAAAAAACUAAAUUGAAAACUAAAAAAAUACAACUCUCACAACUUUUUAUUUUUAAGGACCAAAAUGUACAAUUUCCUAGCAUUUUAGUGUUCGCUGCUACAUUGAAAUGCCAAGGGGAUUUAUGUAGUAUAGUAGUAGAUAAUUGCUCAUGCUACGCUACAGGUCGAAUUAUAUUUUUUCUGGACAUAAAAAAAUAUCUAGGUGUCAUUAAUGUGUUUUUUAGUAGAAAAAAAUUAAAACUAUAUAGGUAUUGACUUGAUAUGACCUAGUCGACUUGAUAGGUCCAAAAAUAACCAGGAUGACCGAGAAAAAUGUAGUUUCAUUGAAAAAAAAUCAAGACGACUUAAAAAAAAAUAAAUUAAAACGACAACAUGUUAGAUCAACUUAAGUUAACUUGAAAAAUCCGCUACACAAAUCAUGAGACUUUGAUAACUCUAUAGAAAAUAAAUAAAAAAUAUUAUUCAACUCAAUUCUCAAUCAACCCAAUAUUGAAAGAUAAAAUCAAAUAAAAAAGGGCAAAACAAUAACCCGAGUCAACCUAUCAAACCUGGGUAAGGAGACUAGGAUAACUCCAUAAAAAACAAAUAAAAAAAAUCUAAAAUCCAAUUCUCAAACAACUCAAUGUUGAUGGAUGAAAUUAAAACAGAAUUCAAUUAAAAAAAGGAAAAAGAACUAAGUCAACCUAGCUAACUCGCAAAACUCGUAACGCUGAUCUUGAGACCAUAAUAACUCAAUAGAAAAUAAAUCAAGAAAUAAUCAUGAUCAUGAAGUUUAAUUUUCAAUUAACCUAAUGUUAAGAGAUGAAGUUGAAAAAAAAUAAAUUUUAAAAACAGGAAAAAGACAAGUCAAUACGGUUAACUAAUAAAACUCGUGAUUCAGGUUAUAAGACCAGGAUAACUCCAUAUAAAGUAAAUCGAAAUAAAUUAUAAAGUAGGUUGUAUAUAAAAAAAAUCUCAAUUUUUUUUUAAUUUCUGAGGUUCAAAUUAUAAAAUGUUUUAGGAUUUUAGUAUAUUUAUAAUAUAAUAAUAAUUAUAUGUUUUCGAAAGCUGUUCCAAGGUGUUGUCAUCAUCUAAAAAUAUAGGGAUCCAAAGAGAGGGAUUGGCUAUGACAAAUGAGCCAUGGAAUUUACUUCCCCUUUUAAUUAAAGGUAGAGUGGAUGAGUGGGAGAAAGAUUUGGUGCUCGAGAAUAAGCAUAAUCUUAAGCAACUAAGUGUGCUUAUGUGGGAUCAGGUACCAUAGUUUUGUUUUUUUUUUUUGGAAAAAAAAAAAUCUGCUUUCUUUUUCUUUCUCCCCAUGAUUCUAUAAUUUAGCCUUCUGUAUGUCGUUCUCCAAGUAAUAAUGAAGUGAAAAGAAACCUAAUGCUAUUAUCUUUCUUCCAUUAGGUAUCUUCUCUCCCACCUGUAGUCCAGUUUCCAUGGUCACAUCCGAAUAGUGGGCUCCCAAGCGCUUUAAUAGCUUCCGUAUAAUAAUCCUCACAAAAUAUUAAGCCAGCCCUGAUCUCUUUGUAUCCCCAAACAAAUCAAUUCUCUCACAGUUAAUUAGAAGCAGAAAAAAUCUCAUCUUUCCUGCUGCUGCUGCAGAGUACUAUCUACCCAAGUUAAGGUAAGCCAUGAUCAUAGUUCUCUUUAUCCAUGCUGUCAUCCUUGGAAUAACUUACAGGAGGAUUUGUGACUUUGGAAGCCAGAAGAUUAGCUUUAUAUUGGUGAAAUAGGACUCAAGAAAGCUGUUCAAUUUCCCUGAUUUUCUUGUUUAAAUUAUCAAGAAGAUGCUUUUUGUGAUGUCUUUUAUCUCGUUGGAAUCUUGACAGACAUUGCCAUAACUCAAAAGGCUCAUCUCUCUCUUUUUGGUUGAAAGCAGAUCAACAAGAACCAAAAAAAGAAACCGCAAACCCCAUAAUUUAUUGUUUAGCUUUCACCUCCUGUUCUUGAAGCAUCAGAAGCCAUGAACUAGCCUUUAAAUUCCUCUGUUACAACCUGCAAAGAAAUCCGGGACCAAACACAAUUGAAGGCCUUGUUCUAUAUACGAGUGAAAUGAACUCCCUACUUGCAGUCUCCUUUGUGGUUCGAUUUGAUGCUGCUAGGAAGCACUGGAGCCAUGAAAUCUCCAGCCUAUUUGCAUAAACUCAUAAAAGGUCUAAAGAAAUUGUAGUUCGGCUAAGAGGGUAUUGGUGUACUUCUGAGGUGUUGUUGGAUUGAGUCAUAAUAAUAGCUAUGUUUGCUGUUCAUCAUCGUCCACACCGGCUACUCCUGGAGACAGAAUCAAGCACACAAUCUGCAGCAAAUGGAAGCAGGACGCGCAACACAUACAACAGCGAGGCCAAUUUUGAUACCAACAUGGUGAUCAUCUUGGCAGCUUUGCUUUGUGCGUUAAUUUGUGCCCUUGGACUAAAUUCUAUAGUACGAUGCGCCAUACGCUGUAGCAGGAGGUUUACUUUCGAGACUCGUGAUCAGACUGCAGCACAUAUGGCAGCAACAGGCCUCAAAAAGAGCGCAUUGCGACGAAUCCCAGUGAUUAUAUACGGGGUGGCAGGGAUACAUUUAAUAGCUACAGAUUGUGCAAUUUGCCUAGGUGAGUUCAUAGGUGGUGAGAAAGUACGAGUUUUGCCCAAUUGUAACCAUGGAUUUCAUGUUAGGUGCAUUGACACAUGGUUGGUAUCACACUCCUCCUGUCCAACUUGCCGGCAGUCACUACUUGAGCAACCAGCAAGUUCUGAUGCCACAGAAAUUGAAGUUGGGAUUAGACAUCCGGGAAAUGAUGUUCCUAUUGCUGGAGAUCACGAAGCUGGUUGAUCCUGCUUUGAAAGUGAUUCAACGCCAAAUCAAGAACAAGCAAAAAAAGGGUCUUAGUUUCUCUAUUGUUUAAUUUUUGAGAUGUUCAGUUUGUUUGUGUAAUUAUGCUUAGUGAUGUAGAUAUCUUGUCUGAAACUUCAGUGAAUGAGCUAAAUGGAGGUUUCUGAGGCAAUACUUUUUUUGUACAGGCUUUAUUAGUAGAUAAGAAAAUGAUCCUAGGAGGUUUGCCACUCGCUAUGCGUUGAAAGGCCUUAUAAUAGUAAAUGCACCAAACUUUUUGUAAUCCAAUUUAACAAAUUUCUCUCCAAAGUGUCUCUGUUGAGCAUGCUGCAUGCAGUUCCUCCAAAAAGUUCAGAGCUCAGGUGGGCAUUUCCUAGCCACUAGAUAAUCUCGAAGGGGAUUGAUUUAUGCAACAGCACAAAUUGAUCUCUUGGAAUAUAAGAUUGGACAUGGAAAAGAACAUCUAGUUCAUCUGAACAAAUUAGAGGGAGCAGUACUCAGUCAAGAAAUGUGUAAUUUCUUCACACCUUUGAGGCAAGUGACUUGCUUUUAGUAUCCACGGUGAAUACAUGCCUUUCUACAGGAAUAUAAAUUAAAUUCGUUCCUUGUGAAGUUUAAAUGUUAAUCACAUUGGUUAUAGUUCGUUCUGAAUGCAUAACAAUUUAGAGUUAAUUUCUUCUCAAGCUAAUUAAGAUUUGACUCUAUGAUAGCAAUUAUGUUUGUAAAGUAGAUAUAUGGGUCUAAAUUUAAGAAGCUAAGGCUUUGAUGUUUAGGUCAUUUUGGUGGCAUGAUCAAAAGUCACUCAAGGAGUGUAAAGCAAUUAAGUGGCACACAAUAUACUAAGUUAAAUUAGGUCAAGAAGUUCUAAGAUCUACCACAAAACAAGUUUAAUUGGAGGACCGUUUGGAUGGGAAUGGAGGCCUGCUUGGUUUGCUAUAGGUAAAAUCCACGGCCUAACUUUGGUGUCAAGACAAUUUGGAUACUUAUAGUGUGUUCUGAUGACUUUUGAACGUACUCAGUUCUCUAGAAAUCUCAAGGAAACUACCUCUCUAGUAAUAAUAGAAAGAUUUAGGCAGGAUUAGAAGACAAAAUUCCUUAUAAGACAAGAAAUAGGUAGAAGAACCCUCAAAGUUAAUGACCAAUACUUGGAAUGGAGAAAUAAUAGGCCAGUCAGUGACUCAUUGGUAAGAGAGCACGGAGCUGUAACAUCUCUAGAAAGACAUGUCAUGGGGUCCCAGAGAAAGAGAAUAAAAAUGAUGAAGAGCCGAUGGAGAAGACAAAGCAGCUACAAGCUGAAUUGGAGCUUGAAAAAGGCAACAAAGGCUUUCAAAAAGUAGCAGUUGUAAGAGAACAAGCUGAAAAAGAAUUAAGGUUAAGAAAAAAGCUGGGAAAAUAGUUGAAGAGGAAGCUGAGUAAAAAAGAAAUGCCCAGUAACACAUAUGGUAAAAGGUGGUAGCUGAGAAGGAUGCAUGCAACAGCUGAAAAGGAAAAAAAGAUUAUAAAAAUAAGUUUGAGCAUUGGGAUGAGAUUGAACUGAGAGCCCAUUUGGAAUUGGAAGACAUAGUAAGGAGUCAAAAAAGCAAAAUAUUAAGUUUAUGUCAAAGAAUGAUCUUAAUUUAAUAGCUUAAACUGUUAGGUGAGGUUCAAAAAUAUAAUUUAUAUUAUUUUCUAACACAUUCCCUCAAGUGAAAGCCAUUUAGACUUGAAACUUGCACAGGUUCACAUUACCUUGUACUUAAUUUUUAUCAAAUAAAUGGGGAUGGUGAGAUUCGAACUCGUGACCGCUUGAUUAUCAAGGCUCUGAUACCAUGUCAAAGAACCAUCUCAACUCAAUAACUUAAGCCGUUAGGUGAGGUGUUAGGAUAUGAUUUAUAUUAUUUUUUAAUAAUUUAUAAAUACAUAAGCUAUAAUGGAAAGGCUUAACGAAAAGUAGCUAAAUUACACCUCUGCGUCAUGAAACUCCAGGUUAAGUUGGCUGCUAAAAUAUUUUUAUAAUUUAUUAUUUUAUAUAUUUUUAUAAUUUAUUAUAUUAAAUAUACCUAUUUUCUUUUCAGUUUCUUAUUAAAAGUCUUCAUAAUAAUAAUAAAAAAAUCAUUUAUAAUACCAGUGUCUAUUUCUCUGGACUUAAAAAUUGACUUAAAAUCGUACUCACCGGACGGACUACUGAAGCACCGGAAUGAUUUCUGUGUGCAAAAAAUUGAGGAGGCCAAGUUCCAAAGUCAAAAGUCUUUGCCUUUGCUCUUAUCUAGAAAGUCAUCGCUAGAUACUAUUCUGGCCUCCACCUUCCUCAAGCCCUCUGCUCUUCGUAUGACUAUUUCCCAUUCUUUAACACGUGAGCUUGGUUGCCCAUAGAAAACGAAAAAAGAAAGCCAUGAAUAGUUUUCCAAGCUAGCACUAUAUUUUAUAUAUAAAAAAAAAAAUUAAGGGUGUAUUUGUUUUUGUAUUUCAAAAAACUUUUUAAGUUGUUUUUCUUUGGAUUAAUAGUUUUUGCUGUUUUCAGAUCAUUUUGAUGUGCUGAUGUCAAAAAUAUUUUUUUUAAAAUAAUAAUAAAAAUAUUAUUUUAAUGUAUUUUUGAGUGAAAAACACUUUAAAAAACAACUACAAUCACGUUCAAAACGCCUCCUUACUUUAUAGUCCAACUUUUCCCUUUGGAUUUGAUGGCCAUUUGAACAUAUUUAUGGAACAAAAGGAAUCAUGAUUUUGUGCUCAAGGAAUGGAAUUUCAAACUCAUUUCAUUUCUUUUCUCUCCCCCUUUUAAUUUUUUCAACUUUUGUGGGUCUAGCAUGUUUCCACAAUCAUGAAUUUCAUUCAUGCACUACUGCAAGAUGUUAUUAUCCAAGUGCCUAAUGAGGAUAGCUGUAGGACGAUUAAGAGUUCAUGUUGAGCAUCAUUUCAUCCUUGGACCACUCCUUUUGCCUCUGAAUUCAUCCAUAUCCAUCCCCAGGGUGUUUUUUUCUUGAUUCGAAGGAUUGCGACGAAGAAUUCUUGUUCUUUAUCAGUUGCCGGAAAGAAUUAAAGUCAUGUUCUAUAGACCUUGUGAACAACAAGUCCACUAACACAAUACUUCCGCCACUAGUACUACGUUGUAUAAAGACACCACAUACGUACCAAUAUGUACAUGUGGUCAGGACAAAAUACUCUUUGAUCGGUUUGGAAAGGGAAUUCUUGUUUCAAUCCUUGUUCGUUUUGAAUCCUGCGAGAAGGCAGUGGACAUAGGAUUCCCUUCUUCGGUCGGUAAUGCUAGGAGAAUAAAAAGUUAAAUCAAGCUCAAAUAUUUGACCGCCGUCAUCCGCAAUUUAGUGGCCUUAAUCGUUAUAAUAAAGCCAUCAAGAAUCAGAAUUUGAAUAAUAUUUUUUAGGCUCGGCCCGAUCCAAGACCGGGUCAUCAGGUUUUGAAUGAGUCAUUGGAUCGUCUGGGUUAAUUUUUUUUUAAAAUCAAAACGAUAUCGUUUUAAUAAAAAAAUAAAAGUUAACAGAUUGCAACCGGGUUUUUGAUCUGGUCAACAGGGUCGUUAUGUCACACCGGUUUUUUUUUUUCUAUUUGUUUUUCAACCUGGCCUGAUUCCAGCUCCGAGUUGGCUGGUCCCGGAUCGACCCGUCAGGUCGAGCUGGAUUUCAAAAUUAUGAUUUGAAUACUUGACGUACAGUGGGAAGGCCAAAAUAUAAAAAUACUUUCUAUAUUUUCAAAUACUUUUACUUAUAAAUAUAUAAAAAUAAUAUUUUAAAUAUUAGUAUAUAAUCAUGAGUGACGUGAUGGAAAAAAAAAAUUUAAAAUUUUUUGAAAAAUAUUUUUAAAAUAUAAAAAUAAACACGUGAGUGCUAGAAACUUUGUAAUGACUAUAUAUGCCCUUUGAGAUAGAGUUUUAAGGUAUCCACUAAAUUUGUGGUGGGAUGUCUUUUAGACUUGUUAAUUUCGUACUUUUGAACAAGUAAAUUAUUUUCUAAAAUGGCGUUAGAACAAGCAUUACUUGAAUCUAAGAUUUUGUUUCUAUGAAUUCACGUAUACUUGAUUGUUAAUACUUGUUUUCACAGCCAGAUCAAACAAAAACAAAUAUAACAAUUAAUUACAAAUGUUACUCUUGCCUUCUGUUUCAACAACGAAAUUGGCUGCAGAAUCAUGUGAUUUUAUGUAUCAAAACUAGAUUUUUUUCCCUGCGAAUAUGAUGUCAAUUUUUCCCCNNNNNNNNNNNNNNNNNNNNNNNNNNNNNNNNNNNNNNNNNNNNNNNNNNNNNNNNNNNNNNNNNNNNNNNNNNNNNNNNNNNNNNNNNNNNNNNNNNNNNNNNNNNNNNNGAUAUGAGAUUAUGAUACCCUACAUAAAAAAAACAUAAAAUUAAGGUUUAUACCUAAUAUUAAAUGUUAAAAUUAAAAAUAAAUAAAAACAUUGAAGGAAAAAACUAGCGUCAACUCAAGUUCACUCUACUAAUGCGUCACCCUAUAAUAUGAGACUGAAAUAAAAGAAAUAAUAUUUUUUUGAAAGAGAACCUAGAAAAAAAAGAUCGAAAUUAACUAAAUAAAUAAAAACAUAAAAAAACCCAAGUCAACCUUAGUUAACUUGUCUGACCCGCAACAUGGGAUAUGAGAUUGGAAUACUCUCACACAAAGAAAAGAGAAAAAAAAUCACAAAGCUCAAGACCCAAUAAUCUAAUAUCAAAGGUUGAAAUUAGAAAUAAAAUAAAAUAAAAAUGUUGAAGAAAAAAACUUGAGUUAACUCAGGUUCACUCUACUAACCGGCCAGUCAUGAUGUGAGACUUGGAUAAAAAUAUUAGAAUUUUUAUAAAGGACCUGAAAAAAGGACCAAAGUUAAAUAAAUAAAAAAAACCAAGUGAACUCGAGUUAACUUGUCUAACCUGCGACCCGUGAUAACCCCACAGAAAGAAAAACGUAAAAAUUAGAAAGCUCAAGGGCCAGUAACCUAAAUUGAAAGAAAAUAACAAGGGACUACAUUACAAAAUAAAUUAAGAAAAGAUUAAAAAAUAAAAAUACAAAAAACGAGUAUCAAAAUUGAAUAAAAAAAUUGAAUGAAAUAAAAUAUUGAGGGACAAAAUUGAAAGGAUAAAAAAAAUAGCAUUUAAAAUAUUAAGGACUAUAUUUGAUAUAAAAAUAAAAUAAAACUAAAUGGUAAGGAAAGAAAUUGAAAACAAAAUCAAAAUAAAUUAAAAAAAUAAAGACUAAUAAAAAUAAUGAGGGCCACAAUUAAAAGAAGAAAUGAAUGGUAUGCCAACUUUAAUUUUUGGCUGACCCAGCAUGGAUUUCGUGGUGAGGUGAGAGAAAAGAAGGGGUGGAGAGAAACCCCACCGCAGCCAAAUCCCUAUGAAUUUCACAACAUGCGCUACCCCAUCAACUGCACCACCACUAGACACUUCAGACUGCACAAGAGUUGGACCUUUUGACCACUAUACGACACUACAUGCGCCCUUCAAGGGGUGUAGGCAAUGUCAACUUGUUAGCGCGUGUAACAACUUUUUAUUUAUUUAUUAAAAAAUUGAUUUGCAUAGAUUAUAACGAAAUAACCAUUAUGAAAAUGGGUAGGUUCUACAAGCAACAACACUCAUAAAAAUCAAUUAAUACUAUAUUCAUUUCCUUUGUCUCCCCCCACUCUUUCUCCCUUUAGCGGGAGGGGAAGGAAGUAGGGAUACUUAAAUGCAAUACCCCUUUAAUUAAUGUCACUGAUCUUUUCAGCUACCAUAGGAAUAAGUGUUAAAUUCUGCUCGACAAGUUGAUCUAAAAACUUGUAAUCUACCAUUUGAUUCAAGUUUUAAAUUAAACCAGUUCUUACAUUAAUCCAACCAGAUUAAUUUAUAACAUGGUUAACUUGACUGUAAAUGUCUGAUCCUUUUUGGUUUCUUUAAUUAUAAUACAUUGAAUCUGGAUCUUAGCCAUAAACAAUCUCACUUGCAAAUGAACAAAAACAUUCCGACAACAUGACACCUCGGUGCGGCUAUUGUUUUUUAGCCCGUUAGUUGAGCUCAUAGGCGAGGAUUUAUAAAAGGCUCAAAGUGAUACUCAAAUUUUUAUUGGCCCAAAAUGGGUAGAACAAGCAGCCUCACUCCUUGACAUAUUUGACAAAAGAUUCAAACACAAGAAAGCACAAACAUAGAUAAAAAACAACGCCCAUGAUCGCAGACCCAUUUUCAUUUAGCCAGCUCUGCCGAAAUGGUGUUAGCAAGGGAGGAUAUGGUUGUAGCUGAAACCCCUCUGGUUCCACCCAAGUACCAUUUCUUGAUCAUCUCCACAACAUUUGCGUUCUCCACCUUGAUUUUCGACUCUUCUUUCCCUUCCGUGGCAAAUCCAAUCUGUGAUGGAAAGACGUUAUCAUAGCCAGAAAUCAACGCCAUUUAGCAUGAAACAGUCGAUAGUUAACAAGCUAGUGCUCCAAUGCCCUCUAAAUUCUUACCUCAGCUGUAGGUGAAGUUGAUGGAAAGUAAAAUGUGAUUAUGGAGUUCUUCUUCAUGUACUUUGACUGGAAGAAUUCAACGAUUUUCUCCAGGGCNNNNNNNNNNNNNNNNNNNNNNNNNNNNNNNNNNNNNNNNNNNNNNNNNNNNNNNNNNNNNNNNNNNNNNNNNNNNNNNNNNNNNNNNNNNNNNNNNNNNNNNNNNNNNNNNNNNNNNNNNNNNNNNNNNNNNNNNNNNNNNNNNNNNNNNNNNNNNNNNNNNNNNNNNNNNNNNNNNNNNNNNNNNNNNNNNNNNNNNNNNNNNNNNNNNNNNNNNNNNNNNNNNNNNNNNNNNNNNNNNNNNNNNNNNNNNNNNNNNNNNNNNNNNNNNNNNNNNNNNNNNNNNNNNNNNNNNNNNNNNNNNNNNNNNNNNNNNNNNNNNNNNNNNNNNNNNNNNNNNNNNNNNNNNNNNNNNNNNNNNNNNNNNNNNNNNNNNNNNNNNNNNNNNNNNNNNNNNNNNNNNNNNNNNNNNNNNNNNNNNNNNNNNNNNNNNNNNNNNNNNNNNNNNNNNNNNNNNNNNNNNNNNNNNNNNNNNNNNNNNNNNNNNNNNNNNNNNNNNNNNNNNNNNNNNNNNNNNNNNNNNNNNNNNNNNNNNNNNNNNNNNNNNNNNNNNNNNNNNNNNNNNNNNNNNNNNNNNNNNNNNNNNNNNNNNNNNNNNNNNNNNNNNNNNNNNNNNNNNNNNNNNNNNNNNNNNNNNNNNNNNNNNNNNNNNNNNNNNNNNNNNNNNNNNNNNNNNNNNNNNNNNNNNNNNNNNNNNNNNNNNNNNNNNNNNNNNNNNNNNNNNNNNNNNNNNNNNNNNNNNNNNNNNNNNNNNNNNNNNNNNNNNNNNNNNNNNNNNNNNNNNNNNNNNNNNNNNNNNNNNNNNNNNNNNNNNNNNNNNNNNNNNNNNNNNNNNNNNNNNNNNNNNNNNNNNNNNNNNNNNNNNNNNNNNNNNNNNNNNNNNNNNNNNNNNNNNNNNNNNNNNNNNNNNNNNNNNNNNNNNNNNNNNNNNNNNNNNNNNNNNNNNNNNNNNNNNNNNNNNNNNNNNNNNNNNNNNNNNNNNNNNNNNNNNNNNNNNNNNNNNNNNNNNNNNNNNNNNNNNNNNNNNNNNNNNNNNNNNNNNNNNNNNNNNNNNNNNNNNNNNNNNNNNNNNNNNNNNNNNNNNNNNNNNNNNNNNNNNNNNNNNNNNNNNNNNNNNNNNNNNNNNNNNNNNNNNNNNNNNNNNNNNNNNNNNNNNNNNNNNNNNNNNNNNNNNNNNNNNNNNNNNNNNNNNNNNNNNNNNNNNNNNNNNNNNNNNNNNNNNNNNNNNNNNNNNNNNNNNNNNNNNNNNNNNNNNNNNNNNNNNNNNNNNNNNNNNNNNNNNNNNNNNAUCUCGUCAACGUUAACCAUUUCCGUGCCCACUGCAACAUUUUCCACACAAAAAAAACCAUUAAAUCUUCUAAAAGGGUUAUCGGAAUUCACCUUCGGAAAGCAAAUAAUCAAUCAUUUCUUAAGACCAACACAAAUCUUUACACUUAAAUCAUUUCUUUCUACCCAGGAGCAGUGCGUGAACCCCAUGAUCAUGGGUCAAGAUGGAAGAAUAUCCUACAAACAAGAUACACAGAUAGAACGAACUUACUGAUCGCUAGCUCUGCGUAGCACGUAGGAGGACUUGCUGAGAGAGAGGAAUGCAAGGAGAGCUGUGAAGGAGAAGUGUUGGAGCAAACAAUUUUUAAGCCUCUUAUUAAAUAUUUUGAGCUACCGCUCUCAAUGUCCUAGUUUAAGGUGGUAGGUACGUUGGGGCAUGGAGGUUUGGAAUCUCGUGAUCCAUCUCCCCUUCUAACGCAGUCCUCCACUUUUGGCCUAAUUCUUCUCUUACAAUUGGUCACUCUAUUAUUUCCAUUUAGUCAAUCUGAACCCUUUACAAUAUGUGAGCUUAAGUUGAUGCUUUUUAAACAGAAUUCUAUUAUAUUAUUAGAUAAUAUUUUUCUAGAAAAAUUGUAUUAUGUUAUUAUUUAUGAAGAAAAUUAGUUUUGAUUUAUAAGUCAUAUUUAAUUUUCUAUUAUAAUAUUUCUAAUUAACACUUUUUUAUCAUAAAAAAUAUUAUUGUUUGCCUAAAUUGAUUUUAGAACUAUCUUGUGUUUCUUAAUGAUUUUUAAUUUUUUUUUUAACGUGGGUGUUUGGACUAACUUGCGCGUACCUCGACUAAUCCCACGGGUCCUGAAGUUAACGACCAUAUAAGCCUCUAGUGGCCUUGAGGGGACUCGAACUCAUGAUCAUUAGAGAGAAAACUAAAGAGCUGGAGUUACCCAUCAAAAUUAAUGAUUUUUAAUCUUAUCCAUACAUGUGGAUCCUUUAUUUGAAGCAAUUAAUAAUAAUAGUUGACUUUCACAAAAAUCUCUUAGAAAAGAAUUCAAUUUGGGCUAAAAUAAUAUCGAAGGUUUAAUUUUAGCAUAUCUCGAAAGAGAGGGACCGAUAGUGAUUUUUAGCCUCAUAAUUUAAUGCUUUACCUACCAACCCUCCCUAGCUAAUUUGUUUGUUGUCAUGCCAAGAUUGCACGUUGCACAUUACCUUCUCCUUUCUUUUCAAAGAAUAUUCAAGUUAAAUGUCUUCAAACAAGCUACUCUUUUGAAACCAUAAAUUAGGUCUUUAAUUUUAUUUUUUCAAAUAAGUUUAUGUCUUAUUAUAAAAUCCUAACAAAUAUAAUUUACAUUUUUAAUUAGAAAAAACAUUACAGCAAGUUUUUUAUAAUUCAACUUUUUCCACUUUUAUAUGUUUAUUAUUGGGAUUUUUUUUUCCUAAGUUUCCUUUUAGGAUUUUCUAAAUAAUUUAAAAUUUCAUUAUUUUUGUUAAUUGCUAUAAUUAUUAGAAAAGCUUUAGACCACCUUAUCAUGCUAACUAUCACCGAACCUUUUAUUUUCAAAAAUAUGAUUUUAUCAAUAUGAAAAAUGUUAUUAGGAAUAAAAAGAAAAUCAUUUAUUUAUCUACUUUAACGAGAUGAGAUCUUAACAAAUAGCAGAAGGAGAAAUGGGAUGUUGGUUUGUGUCAUGCUUGCAAGCACCUUAUUCUAAUUCUAAUGUGAAUGAGGAAGAAGGAAAUAUAUAUAGAAAAAGAAAUACUUGUAUGCUUGUAUCUUUUGUUGGUACACUACUAGAAAAUCGGCGAAAAUCAACGGAUUUAUCGACAUAAAUUUUUUAUCAGUAAUUUUUACCGAUGGAUAUAAUUUCAUCUCUAGUUUCGUCAGUCUAUACCGACAAACCUUUGCUGUCGGUAAUAAUUACCAAUGACAUAGAUUCUGUCGGUCAUACAAUCGGUAUAUACCGACGGAAUAAUUAGAUUAAAUUGGAGAAUAAAAUAAUAAUAAAAAAACGAGUUUAAUUCCAUCCUUUUUUUUAAGGUGAUGGUUCGCAUUCAAAUCUUGAAUACAAACAUGUUGUUAGACUUCAAACAGGGUAGAGAGAAGGUAAUUAAAAGCUUCUUAUUAGGCUUUGAACUGGUUAUGGAGAGCUAAAUCACAUAAAAAAGUCCUGAUUAAAUAAUAAAACUUAAUCUCUAAUUAAAUAAAUGUUGAAGAAUGAAACUAUAAAAACACGAGCUUAAAAAAAGGAGAAACCAACAAACCUGGAUGAAUCUUCUAAAUCAAGGUUAAUCACCCUCGCAAUCACGUGACAUACUAACUCGAGCUCAAUCAAAAAGCUCAACUCCCAACCAAUUUAAUAUUGAAUAAUAAAAUAAAAAAAAAUAUUAAAGUAAAAAAUAACAAUAAAAAAACGGGGAUAAAAUUUAAUAGAAAAAACUAAUGGAGGAUGAAAUUAUUAAAAGAAAUCAUUUUUAAUAAUUAUCUUAAAUAAAACAAAUACCAAUAAGAAAAUGUGGACCAAAUAUGGAGGAUGAGAUUGAAAAAAAAAAUCUAAUUUUAUAAAUUAUUUCAAAUAAAACAAAUAGUAAUCAAAAGAAAUUAAACCAAAAUUAAAGAAAAAAUGUAUUGAAUGGUUGCCUUAAAAGUUUGGUGUUAGUUGCAAAAAUCAAGGAAAAAAAGGAAAAGAAGGAAAAAAAAAAAUCGUUGGUGCGAAGCUAGAGGGUAGUAAGCCAUACGUACUAUCUAGGGAUGGAGGGGUCAUCAAGACUAUUUGAACACUACCCCGAAAGAUAUCAUUUGGACACAGAAUGACCCUUUCACAUGCCAAUAGAAUAGCGGAAAUAACAUAUACACUAGCGCGUGCAAAGCACAAGGUCACUAUUUUUUAAAAUAAUAUUUUAUAAUUAUAAAAAUAUAAAAUUCCCUCCAAUCAACUUAAUAAUAACUAAAAACUAAAUUGAAAAUACAAAAAUGUCACUAAAAGCAAAUUAAAGAAAAUUUUAAUUUAAGGGUAAUUUAGUAAUUUUAUUGUAUUUUGAAAAAAUAAAAAUAUAAAAAGGCCCCUAGAUACUAGUUAAAAAAAUAUUUCUUUUAAAUGUAAUUUUGUUAUUGUAAUAUGUUUUAAAAAUUAAAAAAAAAAAGUUAAUAGAUAAUGAAAAAGAACCGUAUUACCUCAAGGCCAAUAUUUUUUUAUUAAGAAUAUCAAAAUAGUUAUUAUAAUAUUUUAAUAUAUAGUGCAUUGAGUUAGGUGUGCAUUAAAUCCUAAUUCCUUUUAGUUUUUUUUUUAUUAUUAUUAUUAAUAAAAGGGAUAUAUAUCUAACCACGUGGGAUGCUAAUAGUCAUGAUAAUGCGUGUAGUCUGUUUGUACACAAAACACACCGUAGCCCUAGAGAUGGACUCAAAGAACCAUGACCAUUAGCAGUCCACGUGGUGAAGUUGGGUCCAAUCUUGUAUGCCUACGACUCAUCUCAUAAAUGAGUCCAAUCAAUUCAUAUAUACACCUACCCGCCAACUACCAUGGCAAGAGUAAAACAUAAAAACAUUUUGUAUCGUGGGGGAGGGUGGUAGUUGUUUUUAAAAUAUUUUUUAUUUAUAAAUAUAUUAAAAUAAUAUAUUUUUUUAUUUUAAAAAAAUUAUAAUUGAUAUUAGAAUAUUAAAACGAUUUAAAAAUAUAAAAAUAUUAAUUUUAAAUAAAAAAAUCAAAUUCAUAAUAUAAAAUGGUAUAAAAAAAUUCCCACAUUAGCAGAAAAUAACUAUUGAAAGUUUACUCUAAUACCAACCAAAUUCACUUGCUCCUACACAUGUUCUUGUUUUUUAUUGUGUAAAUAUUAUAUUUAGUAGAUAAACAAUUAAAUUGACAAUAUCUUAUAUUUUCAUGCUAAGAAAAGAAAGGAAAAGAAGUCUUAAGUAGUAGAUUUCUAAUCCUUCUAUCCUUCUCAUUAAAACAUCAUUAACGUUUCCAUGAAAAACAAUUCCUUGUAUUUUUAUAUUUUAUAUUUAAAAUAUCUCUCUAUUAGUUUUUAUUUUAAUAUCAAUAUUGUAGUUAUAUUUUGUUAUCGAUACAUCCAUGUAUUAAUUGUUGAGAUUAACAUCACUAAAUCUGAAUUAGUUAGGUAGAUAUUUUUCAUUUAAUUCUUUCAACGAGGAGAAAUUAAAUACGAAAAUUAAAUUUUGAGUGGAAAUAAAUAACAAUUUUGUAAAAUCAAAUAGAGUGCAGAGAUGUUAGACCUUGAAUUUUAAAAAGGUUAUUUGUUUUAUUCACCAUCAUGUAUGGAAGAAAACAAGUAUUGAAAGAAAAAGAAAGGGGAAUUGCAGGAAAAGAAAUAUAAAGGGUACUUUGAAAAUUAAUGAGAGCAACAAAGAAAGUAGUAAACACUGAAACAAAAAAUAAAUUAAAUUGAAAUUGCAUAUAUAGAGCUGAUUAUUUUUGCAAUAGUUGUAUGACUCUAUUUAUAUUGUUAUAAGUUAUUAGAGUCCAAUGUAAUCUCUUAAAUCCAAUCCUCUACAAACUAUUCAUAGUAGAUAAAGUGCUUACAUGAUGAAUCUUGAUACAACUUAUACUCUAACUAACUAAAACGUAACUUUGUCCCUUAUAAACACAUGAAUCCUAACUUGUCGAGUAAAACUAACUAACUAUGCAUAUUGAGGAUUCUUGUUUUACGUAGGCCUGAAUAUUCUAGUCAAUCACAUGAACCUUUUCUUCAUGGUCAAUCGCUUCAUCCUUGUUGAUUACAUGAACUCUUUUCUUGCGGUCAAUCAUUUUUUUUUGUUUCUUAAACUUCCUUAAGCCUGGUUAACUUUAUUAUUAACAAUCGAUUUUAGCCCUUUUUUUCUUUAUUUUAUCAUGAACAAUCAUUUUUCUUUUGUGAUUGACAUGAGAAUAUUUAUUUUUGGUGUAUACAAUGCCUCCUAUAUUCCUUUAUUUUUUAAAUGAAGAGAUAUUCACCUUGUCAUAUUUGAUAGAUCAAAUCAAUUAAAUAUGAUGUGGCAAGUUACAUCAUUCACCUAAAACCAUCGAUCAUGUUUUUAAAACAUGUUUGCCAUGUCAAUAGCUCCAAAUAAUUAGUUUAGUUUUAGAAUAUCAUGUGCUCUGAUUUUAUUAGUGAUGCCUAGGACCUAUAAAUUGCACUUGAUCCUUUAUUUUCAUAAAAAAAAAUCCCUAAUUUCUCUUUUAAGCUUAAAGACUUCUUUGUUAAAAACCAAUCAAGAACCCUAAACAUCAUUCUUCUCUUAAAAAAUGGCAGCCUCAAGCUUUGUUCCAACCAAGUCUACACUCAUAACUCUUUAUCAAAAUUACAUGGAUUACUUGCCUUAUAUUAAUCGGUCCAUAAUUAGUGUUACAAAGAAUGCACAAGGGGAAUUCCAUGGUUCAUUAUUUAAAAAGGUACCCAAGAAAAAAGAUGAUAAUCACUUCGCUCUAGAUAUUAAAAGUGAAAAACUUACCCUUUAAGAUGACUACAUUAAACUAAAAAUCUGGAAUAAAUCCAUUCCACUGUGGCCGAGUAUUGCUCCUAUUGAUCACAUCAGAUGGGUGGAAAGACUACAACACCUUUUUUGCAAUCAAUAGAGGCAUCAAAUGUUUAUGAAGUCAUGGGACUUUUUAAUGUGAUUUAGCUCUCCAUAACCACUUCAAAGCCUAAUAAGAAGCUUUUAAUUACCUUCUCUCUACCUGUUUGAAGUCUAACAACAUAUUUGUAUUCAAGAUUUGAAUGUGAACCAUCACCUUACAUGAUUUGGCCAUAAUAACUGGCAUUUACAUGGUUUAUAAGGAGUUUUGUGCUUCCAUCAAGACUGAUUCCUGCUAUUUAAAAACUUGGUGUUGGACAAACCUGAAUGUAGCUUUUCCAUGAAAAGAAAGGGAUAAAUAACUGAUCUUUCUACUUUUAAAGAACAUAUGGCUUUUAUACUACAUUAGGCAUGCAACCUCAUAUGUUCUAAAACCAGAAGCCUACCAAAUCAUAUCUAAAAAUAACAAUAAUUUUAGUACAAGUUAGGAAUAUAGUCUUAGGUUUUUUUUAAUUGAGUUAUAUCUAUAAUACAUUAGAAAAGUGUCAAACUAAAUAUGAGGAAGAACCAUUUUAUAAUGAAAGGAAGAAUUUAUAAAAGUACCAUAGUGGGUCAGGCAUAAUCAACUUCCUACUUUCUAGGCUUCAAUAAUGUAAGGAUGAUCAUUGACCCUAACUCCACCUUUUAAGAAAGCGACCUCCUAUAACAUUCCUUUCAAGACUUGUCUUUUGAAGAAUGUGUACAAACUUUCCUCGGUCUAAAAAAUAAGAAUGAUAUAGCAGUAUUGCCUUUGAAAUCAACGAGGUCAAAACCUCAAUGAAUACUGCUUUCAUAAUAUCAAAGAACAAAGGUUGAAAGGGAAAAAAACAUUGCAUUUUAGAUAAGCAUCCUGACCUAUAAAAAUCUAGACUUUGAGUUGGUGAUUGAUCACAUUUCAAAGAUAAUUACUAUUCUUAUGAAUCUUACAACACUCAAUUGGUAUCUAUAUAACUAUUAUUCCUUUAUUUUAUUCAAUUCCUCAUGCUUUAUGCUAUAAAUAAAACUAGUCCAGAUAGAAUAACCUCCAUCAACUUAAAAGAAGUGACAUAAGUUUCUAGAAAAAAAAGGAGCAUUACAUUAGAAAUCUUUAAGUGGAAGACUUCUCAUUGAACUUGGGCCACCAAUCAAGGUUUAUCACUUUGUAUAAACAUAACUAUAGACUUUAUCUAUAAUGCUUCCUUAGAAGAAAUGACAAUAAAGUUAUUUUUUUUAUGAAAAACAACCAAGGAAAAGAAAAUAAAGAUAUUUAAAAGCCCUAUCAUAAGAUUAGUAAAAGACAUGUACAUAAAAUUUUAUGUAAGAACCUAUAUCCUUAAUUGUGUGAUAAUGAUCCUUUAUUUGGUCCCAUGUUCUUACAACAACUUUUUAUGCAACUUCAAAAUCUAUGAUUAAUCUUUAACCUUAACUAAUAGUUGAUCCUAUUAAACCCUAACCUAUUUCAAAAUUUUAUAAAAAAGAAGACAAGAAUCCCAUUAUUAAGUGAAAGACCAAGCUUAGAAGUAAUUUUUUUCAAUCAAAGUUAUUUAAAUUUAAUACAUUUGCUCUAAAUUUUAUCUUAACAUGUUUCCUUAUGUAUUGUCGAAGCCAAUUACUCCCAUUACACCUUUUUUUUAUAGUUCUUACUAUAAAAAUGUUAAUGGAGGUCUGUUAUGUUAUCAUCCUCAGUUGAGUGCUUUUUCUUUAAAAGAGAUGUCACACCCUACUAUUGUUAUGAUUUAUAAAGCUAUAAUUAUUGAAGCUAUUAAAUCACAACCUUUUACUAUUAAUGGUCAUCAUGAAGAGAUUGACCAUGUUCUGUUAUGGCAUUAUCAUCCUCUAGUAGUGCUGAGAAGAAUUCUUCAUCACUAACUACGCUGAUGUUGAUCUUGAAAGAACCCAGCUAAAUUUUGAAGUGUUGCUAGUGUCUAGUUUAAAUCAGGGUUACCUUGAUAGGGUAUCGAAAAAAAAACCCUAUUCUUCCAAGUUUUUAUAAUUUAUUCCCUUAGUAAUGUAUGUAGCCUUUAAGAGUUCCUUCCCUGUGUGUUGAAGGUAUGUUCAAGAUACUUGAGACUAUGCUUGCAAAGGCAAGGGCAUUACUAAAAUAUAUCCUUUUUAUGGGUGAGAAAAAAAACUGAAAAACCGAUUGAACCGAGAAAACCAGAAAAAAAAUAACUGAAAAAACUGAAUCAUGAAAAAAAACCGCUUAGAAUUUUAAAAAAACCGAACCGAACCCAAACAAAAAAAACCGGAAAAAAACGAGCCAAACCGGUUUUUGUUCUAAAAAAAUCGAACCGAACCGAACCGAACCGAAACCGGUCGGUUUGAACCGGUUUCAGUUUUUUUUAAAAAAAAUGAAAUUUCAGUUUGGUUACUCUUUUUUGAUAAAAACCGAACCGAACCGAAAAUUAUUACCCCUAAUCAUUUCCAUGCUAGAAGAGAGUAAUAUCAAUGAAAAAGAUACUAACACAGUUGCUAUUUAUAGAGGGGAAUGGUGGCCUUGUCUUUUUACCUUCAUAGUAUGAAGGAGAUACUAAAGAAAAUUGAGUGGAGAAUAUACUAGUAAUUAAUUGUCUUCUUGUUAAUCCGGUAAUUAUAAUUAUUAAAGAGCUGAAAUCCCUUAUUCCUUCCUCUAUAAUUUUAGAAAAUUAAGAGAUUAAUAACUAUAUGCCUCAUAUUACUACAAAAUAUAUAGUAGUACCAAGGCAACCAACCAUAAAGAAUCCUCCAUUAAGCAAACAUGUAAUUUUUUUCUAUAACUUUAAAUAUUCUAGCAGAGAUUUCUUUUUUUCUUUUUGUGACUAAUAAGCUUCGAAAGACCUCCUCUCUUAAGUGUUCUCCUGUCCACCAAUAUAUUUUUUUUCUAAAUUGGAGCUUAAUGGGACACUAUAAAAAAAAAAAUUGUUGGCCAAUGUCAAGAAAUAUUAUUUUAUAUAAAGAAUUAUUUAUAAGAAAAAAAUAGAGAAUAGGGAUGAAAGAAAUCUUUUUGAAAAUUCAAAGGUCCAAGAAUGAAUAUUAACAAAAGUAUUUCAUGCUCUGAACUCAUGAUAAGUGUCAAAAUAUUACGAGCUAAAAAUAAUAAUUAAAUGUAUUAGCACCUCCAACUAAUAAAACGAUAUAAUGAUGAAAUAGAUAUAGAUAUAGAAUUAAUAUUAAUAUAAAAAAUAAGAAAAAUACUAUUGAUCAUUUAUAACUUCUUAUAUGUUACGUGUGUGUGCUUUUUCUUUUUUCUUUUUUGUUAGAGUAAUUCUUGAGUUUAAAAAAAUUUAAACAUAAGAAAGUUAAAUAUUAUUGCACCCCGUCCUUACACACACGUCACUUUAAAAAUAAUAAUAAUAAAAAAGAAUCAAUAUGAUCAAUAAUACAGGCACUGUUUUUAAAAUUUAGAUAAAACACCAACAUUUUUUAUAUUUUUUAAUUUGUUAAAAUAAUUAAUAAAGAAAUUUGUUGUUUUAAUUAGAAAAUAGAGAAAAAUACUUUUAGCAUCAUAUGAUAUAAAGUUUUUAACAGUUUCAAACAUUGGGAUCUGAAGUGCAUUUUGCUUUCAUGCAAUAUACAUAUGCUUUUAAAAUUUUGAUAAGUGUAGCUUAAUUGAUCAGAUUCUAACUUUGUUUUUUUAAAAAUCACUAGUUCGAGUGUUAUAAAUCUCAGGAUUAUUGAAGGUUUAUAUAAUCAUUAAUUUUAAAACCUUAAAAGAUUAAUUAAGAUACGCAUAAAUUGAACCGGACAUCUACCAUUGAAAAAUAAUGUUUUCAAAAGCAAACAAAUUUCAAAUUAAUCAAAGAUCCUUUCAGACGCCAUUUUCCUGUACUUUCUAUGCUAUUCAAUUGUGUGUCCAAGGAAUUAAUGUAUGAACAUAUGCCGGAAAAAGACUUGGAGCCCAAUGAGACGCAUAGCCUGUUACUCAACAAACAAAGUAUUUUUUUAGUUAAAAAUAUAUUAAAAUAAAUUUUUUAUUUUUAAAAUUAACACAUUAAAAUAAUUUUAAAUUAAAAAAUAUAAUUUUAAAUUAAAAAAAUUAAAUUUUUAUAAAACGUCGUUGUCGAAAGAACACAAAAGUUAAUGGAUUAACAAUUAAAAAUCCUAAAAUUAAUUUUUACCUAGUGAAAUCAAUGGCAUUUUUUGUGUUGAAUAUUUUAACAUGCCUGAUUCUGAAAGGCUCUAUACGUGCACGGGGAUUAACUCCAUAUCCUCUGGUUCUGAAAUAUGUUAUGAAUUAAUAAUUUUUUCAAGCAUUAUAUUUUUUUUCUCUUUAAUAUUUGUAUAUCCAGGGGAUACACUUUGUCCGUAAUUUUUUACUGUUAAUGAAGUAGUAAUGUAGUAUUAUUAAAUUUCAUGAGCUAGAACUAACCCAAGAUAUAGUCAAUUCAGGAUUUGAUACUGUUUGAGUUUUAAAAAAAUUAAAUAAAAAUUAAUUUGAUUAAACUUAGCCAAUCAAAACUUAUUUUGAUUUUAUUUAUUUUUAAAUAAUAUUGUUUAUUUUUUUUAGAAUAACAAUAUUAUUUUAAAUUAAUUAAGAUUAAUCUAUCAAACUCUCGUGAGUCAUGACUCCAAUAGCAAAUCAUGAAUUGGCGGAAUUUAAUAACUUUGUGUAAAUUCGCAAUACUUAUAUUAUACUGCAGCAAUUGGAAUUUAUCAAUUCAUGCUUUUAGUCAAGGUCUUGCAAUUUUGAAUGCUAUGGACCUACAUGUCACUUCACUGAGCCGUCGUACUUCUGCGGUGAAAAUCACACAUUCACAUAGAUCAAUUUUAUUAGUCCCUCCAAAGGCCUUGAAUUUUUGUGUACAUAAGCUAAUAUGUGCCCUAAGAUUAUGGGUGAGCAAAAAAACCGAAAAACCAAUUAAACCGAGAAAACUAGAAAAAAAAUAAUUAAAAAAACCAAACUGGAAAAAAAAACCGAUUAGAAAAAUAAAAAAACAAGCCGGUUCGGUUCGGUUCAGUUUUGGUUUUAAAAGGCUAAAACCGAAUAAACCAAACCGAACCGGUUCAAAUAAAAAAAUCAAUAGUACUAUAAAUACCUACUUUUCAGCUUUCCUCAUCUCCUUUCUAAACCCUAGCCGCCACCCAUGUUUCACAAUCUUCAUCUCUCAGCCCCCACCCCCAUCUUCACUCUCAACCUUUCUCACCCAUGUUUCUCAAUCUUCAUCUCUCAGCACAGCCGCCCCCCCUCCCAUCUUCAUCUCUCAACCUUUCUCACAACCCCGCCCCCGUCAACAUGUUCAUCUAUCAUCUCUCUCAACCUUUCGUUAAGGCUUUAAGCCCAACCCCCCUUCUCCCCCAAAGUAGAUCUGGUGAACGAACCAUCAUUAUCUCUCAUCUCUCAAUCUUUUUAUCCUUUUCUUUAAGCAUAGUCGACUAAGCUCAUGGAUUAACAACCAAACAGCAGCUCUGGAGCCCCCCUCUCUUCAAUCUUUAUCUUUUAAUUUUUGUCCCUAUUUACUUUUUUUUAUUUCUGUAGAUCUAUUAUGUAUUUAUUUUCUAUAUUUAUUUACAAGGUUGUUGAUUUGUCAUAGUAUGCUCAUGUCGCGAUUACUGUAAUGGAUGUUGUGAGAAUUAUUUUUUUUUAAUUUUCGUAUGACUCUUGUUCUUUCUGGCUUCUUGAUUUUCAAUUUCAGAAAACCUGCUCGAUAUGCUUGGCCAAGAUGAAAUCGGUUUUGUCCGGUUUUUCCUUUCAAUUAACCAAACCGAACCGAACCGAAACUGUUCGGUUUGAACCGAUUUCGGUUCGGUUUCGGUUUUGAUUUAAAAAUGAAUAAAUAAAUUGGUUUGGUUAGUUUUUUGGGUGAAAACCGGACCGAACCGGAAAUGCUCACCCUACCUCAGUCCACACAGACUUGUCAAUACACAAUACAAUAAUACAUGACUUCCAUGUGAGGUAUUUUUAGCUUAUAUACCGUAAAAAAAAAAUCAUCUCAAUUUAAUAGUUUAAUCUGUUAACUGAGGUCUCAAGAUAUGAUUUAUAUUAUUCUCUAACACACACUCCCAAAUGAAAGCCCUUUGAGUUUGAAACUUGCACAGACUCACAUUAACUUGUGUUUAAUUUUUAUCAAAUAAAUGAGGAUGUUGAGAUUCGAACUCGUGAUCGUUUGGUCAUCAAGGUUCUAAUACCAUGUUAAAAAAUCAUUUUAACCUAAAAAUUUAAACUAUUAGAUGAAGUCUUAAGAUAUAAUUUAUAUUAUUCUCUAAUAUAUAUAACUUUUUCAUGAAUGAUUGGCUCUCGCAUAGAAUUAGCAUGUUGAAAAAUCAAAAUUAGCACAAGUUAUUUAUAAUUGUUUCUUAUCGCUGUAAAUAUUGUAGAUUAAAUAUAACUUUUGUAUUUAAUAGAUAAGUGGCUCACUUUAUGUCGCGGCCGAGUUAAUUUUUCUUUAAUAUAAAAAAUGAUUGUGUAUUUUUUCAGUUAACUCAAGAUCAAGUAUUAUUUGUCCAUCAUUAAUCGACUUUAGUGGUCUCAUCAUUUUCCAAUAUCAUACGAUAUAAUAAAAAUAUUAAUUUUAAGUUUGGUAAGAAACCCUCAUUCAAGCAGACAGUCUUUGACAGUUCAUAAUCCAUAGCCCAUGUAUUAAUAAAAUCAUCACAUGAAAUAUGUCUUGUUUGUAGAUAUGUUGAUGAUAAACUUUAUCCUCGAAGUUCUGGUCUGUUGGAGGAAGUUACCAAGAAUAUUCAAGGUAUAUAUAAUGCCUACACCUUUACUCCUUCCUUAAUUAAUUAGAGCAUAUAUAGUAAAUCACCUCUGCAUAUACAUCCUUGUCCAGAAUACAUGAUUCAGAAGCUUGGUAUAGAAGAAACUGAAGCCUCUCAAAUGAAUGGUGUUCUGUACAAGAGUUAUGGCACAUCCAUGGCAGCUCUCAAGGUAUAUAUGGCCUUGUUGUCAUUGAAAAGAAGAAUGAAAUCAUCUUGACAAACCUUUUACCAAAAUCCAAUCGAUUUACUGCUGUUCUGCGAUUUCUUUCCUCUUUCUAGGCCAUUGGUUAUGAUUUUGACAGCGACGACUAUCACAGGUACCAAGUUAAAUAUCCCCACAUAUAGGUUUAGCUUUCUUUUACAUAAAAUGGAUUAUUGCUAUAUAAACGAUCUUACUUACAUUUUCAUGUUUACAGAUUUGUUCAUGGGAGAUUGCCAUUCGAGAGGCUAAAGCCUGACCAUGUUCUAAGAAGUCUUUUGCUUAGGCUGCCUUCUAAUUUAAUACAAGUAGAUAAUCAACUACAAAUUAAGCUUUCUUAGUUCUGAUGAUGAUUUUUUUUUUCUGGGUUUUAUGUAAUAGAUAUUCUCAAAUGCCGAUCAAGCACUUGUGGCUGAAGUUCUCAGCAGUUCAAGCUUUGAGGCCCUAAUAAUCCCUUUAAUUACGAAGACAUCAAUGCUUGUGAUGAAAUUGGAGUUCGACUAUACAUCCAAAAGCCAAAUUAUUGACAUCAUUGAACAUCCUUGUCCGUCUAAUCCUGUUUGAGUACUUCAAAAAACUCCAGUUGUCUGCAAACCUAAUGAAGCAAUAAUUCUUCAUAAAUUGUUAUCGAAAACCUUGAUUUAUGAAUUUUUUUUUUCAAGGCAAAACAAUCCUUAGUGUCAUGCUCCAAUGCAAGCGGAAUAGGUAGCACUUGUUUUGGUAUUUGUGGUAAGGGUCACCUUUCAUAAAUGAUUGUUAAUAGAAGAAUUUCUUUGGAAAGUAGUCAUCAUUUUAAUUCGAGUUGCAUUCAAUAGAAUCUAUAAUAGUUUUGAAUCAGUAGAGUGAUUGUAAGGCUCAAGUUUUGGCCUUAAAGCCUAAAAACCCAAAGCCUAUAAGUUCAGCCAUAGUCCCUAAAUUCAAGUAUAAAUAGUCAGAAAAGAAAAAAAAACAAGAAAUAAUUGUUUAGAAAAACAAAACGUAAGAACACACUACUAACAUCUCUUAAGUUUUCUUUGCUCCGAAUAAUCAAUCAUACCAUUUGGUGGAUUUUAUUUUGGUUUGGGGUUGUUGAGUGUUGAUAACAAGGUAAGAUCAUUUUUAACUUUGUUUUUAAUUUCAUAUUAUGAACAGUAGAAGGCAUACUAGGGCUUGUAGGUUGAAUUGAGGAAUUUGAUGAUUUUUUUAUAAUUAUGAUGGAAUUGAAUAUGGACAUUGGGUUUAGGAUGUUAGAAAUAUGUUUUUGGAUGGUUUAAAAUCAUUAAAUAUUGUUUUGAUGUUGUUGAGUGUGUAGUUGAGUUUGGGCAGAAUCUGAUUGAGACUACAAGUCGAGAAUUCUAGGUUUCUUGAUCAAACGGUCAACUAGUUCAAGUGAACAGGUCGACCAAUUGUUGAAAAUACUUUGCGUCGAUCGUUUGAGGUGUGGGCAGUCGACUUGUUGGAGAAACAGUAGUAGGUUAGGUAUGUUCUGUUCACUCAGUCGAACUGUUGACGAGGUGCGGUCAACAGGUUGGGUUGUGUUCGGUAGGUCUAUUAGUUGUCCUUUUUUGGUGCAGUCUACCGUUUACUCUAUUAAUUGUCGACCGACUUGUUUUGGUUGACCAGUUGGUUCAUACAAGUCGACCAUUUAAGGGGCAAUAUGGUCUUUUUCGGUCUUGUUCAGUUUGUUAUGUAUAUAGGAUUCGAUUUUGAGUAGUUUUUCAAUUUAUAUUUUAUUUCUUCAUAUAGGUUCAGCUAAUACAGCUCUAGUUGAUCCUUAGUGAGUCGAUUUGCAUGGGUUUCGUUGCUUCCUUUUGUUUCUAUCUUUUCGGGUGAGUGAGAUAAUUUCUAUUAUACAUUAUGUAUUGCUAUGAAAUAAUGAGUAUUGUUGUUAUUGUCAAUUAUAUAAGCCUGAUUAGUUAUUAUUAUUAUUUUCUAUUUUUUCUUCUUAAAUACUCAUCAUAUGCUUGUUUGAUUUGAACAUCAUUUAUAUGUCCUUUAUAUUUGUUCAAAUGUGAUCAUGCUUGCAUUAUGAAUCUUGAUGAUAAACUAUGAACCCUAUAUCCAUACUAUUUGUUAAUUUGAGCUCAUGAUUCUUGUUACCCCAUUUAGACCACUGUCAGAAACACUAAAUUAACAUAAGGUAGUUAGUUACUACAUGCUAACAAAGAGUAGUUAGCUUAUGUGCACAUGAUAUUUUUGUUUCUUAGCUGGCGAGUAGGGUGUCAGUACUGUGCGGAUUGGCCUCUCAUUGUUAUGUGUGUGUGUGUGUGUGUUCCCUAGCUGACGAGUAGGAUGUUAGUAAUAUGAUAUGUAAUUCUGACAUGCAUACCUCUUUUGUACAUCAUUUGAUAUGAUAUCUUUGAUAUACUUGUUUUGUUUGGUACUUGAUUUAUGUAACCAUAUUUAUUUAUCUUAAAAUGUAUAUUAGUAUAUAUUAUAGUUAUAACCUCUCAUUAAGUGUUUGGACUUUCCCCUCCAUUCAUAUUUUUCAGGUUUUUAGUUCGGUUUCAAUAGCAGAAUCUUUUGAUUGUGUUCUUCUUGCUUCUUUGAGUCGGUAUGCCUCGUUUGUUCCUCUGUCUAUUAGUUUAUUUUUUAUUUGUUAUUCAUAGAUACUCCAUAGAAUGAUUUUUAAUUAUGUUUUGAAUUCGUUUUGGUUAUUUAUGCAAAAUUCAUAUUUUAAUUUAUUUAUUGAAUUCCUUAAUAUUGGAUAUUUUGUUUUAUGCUACGUUAUUUUAUGGUUUUUAUGAUAACAAAUGUGUAAGUUUUGAGGUUUAAUGCAGGCGGGGCACCUUGAGGUGCUAUGUUUGCUUUGCCGAUCAUAAGUCUAGGAAUCGGGUCGUGACAGUGAUAAUGCAUAAAACUUUUUAGGUGUUUUGAAGAUUUACAUAGCGAGCCCAUAUAGGCGUCAUCACCCCUCAUUUUGAACAAAUAAGGUUAUGUAAAUAGGAUAAUUAUUUCUUCCUUUAUUCAAAUGUAAUUUUUUGUGUUCUAUUUAAUCAUGAUGAUUGUUCUUUAUUAGUCCAAGCGUUAUCAACUCUCAAUCUUGGCAGACUAAUAAAAUAAUUUAACUUAAUUUAACUUAAUUGAGAUUUCAAAGUUAAGAUUAUUAUUAUUAUACUUUAAUAUUGUUACUAAUAUGUCAUCACCAAGGUGAAAGGUAUAUUAGGAUACAAUUUAUUGUGAUAUGAAUAUUUCAAGUAUGAAAGCAUAAUAAUUUAUAAUCAUGGAAGGAGUUAAUACGAUUCUGAACAUAUGAAAACAUUAUUCUUAAAGAUUAUUUUCGAAUUAACUAUAAGAAAUUGGAUCUUUAAGUGGUAAAGAUUCUUAGUUUAUUUUUUUACAGUAAUUAUUAUAUAACUAAGUAGGGUUACAAUAAUCAAUAAUGUUUUUCACAUAAGUUAGGAAAGACUUUAAAAGGAUGAUAUUAUACACACAUACAUACAUGAGGGUCAUAUAGACAUUAUGCAGUAUGAAAUCCUUGAGAAAAAUGAUGUUUUACCCUUAGAAUAAUAGCUCAAAAAUUAGUUGAACAAUAGCAAAAUUGACAAAAUUAGCCAAGAAAUAGGAGAGAUGGAAGCAAAACCAAGAGAAUUAUGUUUUGUGCAUAAUCUUGCUUUUUUUGUAAAAGUUUACGCAACAACUAUUUUCAUACAAAAGAUAAUGAUAGGAAAGACUUUAAAAGGAUGAUGUUAUACACACAUACAUACAUGAGGGUCAUAUAGACAUUAUUCAGUAUGAAAUCCUUGAGAAAAAUGAUGUUUUAGCCUUAGAAUAACAGCUCAAAAAUUAGUUGAACAAUAGCAAAAUUGACAAAAUUAGCCAAGAAAUAGGAGAGAUCGAAGCAAAACCAAGAGAAUUAUGUUUUGUGCAUAAUCUUGCUUUUUUUGUAAAAUUUUACGCAACAACUAUUUUCAUACAAAAGAUAAUGAUUAGUAUUCUUAAAUCUUAUAAAUACUUUUUUAUUAUUAUAUUUUUAGCCUUAAAAAGGGAGAGAAAAAAAUUAAAAAACACUUACAUUAUCACUAUAUCUUUCUUGGAAGCUUCAUUAUUGUACCUCGUAUAAUUUAUUUGCUUAUUGCAUUUAUAUAAUCUUUUAGAUUAUUUAUGGUCAAAUUUUAUAAAUGUGUGAUAACAUCAUAUCAACUAAAAUAGGUUAGGUGACCUUAGGUAGUAUAUAUGAAAUGUCUGGACAAGUUCGAAACCAGUCCUGUAAGACUUGAGUGCCAUAUGUAAAGUUGAUUUCCACCACUAUUAAAGAAGCUAUAUAGAUCUAGUAUGAAAUAGAGCUUGGCUUGAUUUUUAAUUUUGAAGAACUUGGUUUGAGACUUAUCUUCUAAUUUAUCUAAUAAAAUAAGAAAAGUAACUUGGUAUAAAAUACUUUUUCAUUCUUAUAUUAGCAUCCCUAACAAAAGAAUAUAUAUAUUCUCCUUGAAAAAUUCUUAUUAUUUUUUUUAUUUUUGCAUAAGCAUUAAAUUUUUAUGUCUCCAUUAAGGCUUAAUUCUUAGGCAUACAUUUUAUUACUUAAGUCUUUUUAGUUUUUUUUUUUCUGAAGGCCUUUAAAAUAGACCCUAACUAACAUUAGCUCUUCUUUAACUUAUUGGUUAAAUAUAGACAUGUAUAUAAAGGUACUUUCCUUAUUUUAUUAAACAACUAAUAAGUGGGGGGAAUUCUCUUGUUAGGGAUGCUAAUAUAAGAAUAAAAAGGUAUUUUAUACCAAGUUACUUUCCUUAUUUUAUUGGAUAAAUUGGAAGAUAAGUCUCAAACCAAGUUCUUCAAAAUUAGAAAUCGAGCCAAGCUCUAUUGCAUACUAGAUCUAUAUAGCUUCUUUAAUAGUGGUGGAAAUCAACUUUAUAUAUGGCACUCAAGUCUUAGAGGAUUGGUUUCGAACUUGUCCAAACAUUUCAUUUAUACUCCCUAAGGUCACCUAGCCUAUUGUAGUUAUUCAAGUAGGGUUUGUUAGCCAUGUAUUUCAUACAAAGUUUAGUGCCAAACAUAUGUGGAGUUAAAGAUGAAUCAUUUACCUAAUGACUAUUAUAUGGCUAUUUUUAAGUGCUUCAAAGAAAAUUGACUUGACUUCUUUAUUUUUUCAACACCUUUAAUGCUUUUCAACUCAUAUAUGAAAUGAUAUUUUUUUUGGAGUGUUCCUUGUGAUGAUCUUUCCUCGUGCUUUUAUUAUAUAAAGACUUAGUUUCAUCCUUGUUUUGCUUGUGACUGAUGAUAUGGUGAGUGAGUAAGCUUCAUGAUGGCAAGGAACAUUCAUUAUUUGUCUUGAACAACCAAUGGCAAUUUGUCCUUGUUUUUCAUGAACUAUUAUUUUUGCACACCUCUCUUUAAAGUUAUGUUGUUUAUUUAUAUAAUAGGUAUUGUAACCCAAUUUUGGCUCAUUGGCUUUUAAUUUAAUUUUUACAGGGUUUAAAAUGAAAAAUUAAAAGAUCAAAGAUUUAUUUCGAUGAAAAGUGUGAUUUGUCAACUUCCGUGAAAAUUAAAGACUACAAUGUGCUUUUGUCAUUCUAUCUUUAUCUUCAAGAUAAUCCCUAUCUUGAAGAUAAUCCUUAUCUUCGAGAUAAUCCUUGUCUUCAAGAUAAUGAUAGUCAUCCGCUUUCAAAUUGGAUUCUUAAUCAAAUUCAAACUUCAAAGAAGAGAAUGAGUUUGAUUGAAACUUGAUUUCUCACACGCGAAGGGACUCUGACACUAUAAAUACAGAUCUCAGGGUAUGAAAAAGAGAGGACGAUUAGAGAGAAAAACCCUAAAAGAAGAGACCCUGGAGGAGGCCAUUACCAGAAACCGUAAAAGAGAGAAACAUAAACAAAGAAGGGGGCGGCGAACCCUAUACAAGCCGCCGCCCCCCUCAACCCUUUUUUUUUUAGCCCAAUCUCCCUCGACUUCGCCUCCAGCAGCCGCACGCCUAGGUAAGUUUCCUUCCUUCCUUGCUAAAAUAAUUAACUGGUUACUGUUGCAUGCAUGCGUGAACCUUUCACGCAUGGCUCGGCUAGAUCCAGCCCAAAAGGAAAAAAAAAGAGUGGGCCGGGUCUGGGCUUUAGGCCUAACCGACCCAAAUUGUGUUUGCUAAGGGUGUGCUUGGCAAAACACACCCUUAUGCCUUGGCCAUAAUUUUUAUGCCCAUUCUAAUUUGAUAUUUGACCAAACGAACCCCUUUUCGAUAACAGAAAAUUCCAAAGAUAUUUGGGGCCUUCGUUGAUUUAUUUGUGAGCCCCUCACACUUUGUUUUAUUUUAUUUUCUUUGUGUUUGUAUUUUUUUUUAGAUGUGCUCAAUCUGUGGACUAUUACUGUUAAAUGAAAAUAUGUCGUGAAAUGUGUUUUUUUUACUUUCAUCUAAAAAGGGCAAAUAAUAAUAAAGGAUAAACAAGAAAAAAUGACAUAGAAAAUUUCUUCUUCAAAUUCAUUUUUUACGAAAAUAUUCAUUGACGCAAGAGUCAGGAGUAUCGUAUUUUUUGGAUUUGUGUGAUAUUUACCAACGUCAGAGUUGGAAAUAUUUGUAGGAAUUGUUCACUGAUGCCAGAGUCAGGAACAUGAAAGGAAGAAUAAAAAAAGGGAAAAAGAAGAACAAAUUCUUAGCAAUUUUAGACAAAACCAGCAAUGCAUCCUGCCUUAGGAGGAUGCUUAAAGGUUAAUAGCAUCUUUCCUUUUGCGUAACCAGUCCCGUACCAUAGAAUCUCUGUUGACCAGUUAGGGUUCCUAGUGACCAUAAUACUAGGUGGCGACUUCUUGAACAAGACAUUUUCCCCUAAAAGAACAAGAUGCUAGAUAUCCAUUAUUUUUCUAUAUCAAGAUAUUUUUUAAUUGGUCGCCGCGAUUUCCGGGUGUGACAUUAGGCUAGAGGUGGUGGAAGGGCUAUACAACUACUAGUGUAUGGAGAUUUGUUUUAUUUAGUAUUGCACUACUAACAAUUCCGUACUAAGAUUCUAGACAUGUUGGAUGAGGGUGUUAUUGUUUGGCGAACUAGUGGUUAGAACUCAUCGUGCUAGUAACAAACCCAACUCGUAAAGUAUCUAUAAUUUUAUAAAGUGUUCUUUGCUUUUCAUACAUGUCAAAGGAGUUUAGAGAUCUUUUUAGAUAAGAAAAACUAUCUCUUAGAAGUAGUUUCUAAUAAACAACGUUACUAAUGAAAUAAAAAAAAUCUUAUUUCCUAAGUCACCUUUGUUCUGGUUGAGUUAGAAAAUCCUUACAAAAUGAAGAAAUCCCCUCUAUAAACAUGGGAUUGUUUGAUGCUUAAGUUAAUAAAUAAAAGAAGUAUAGAGAAUUUAGAAAUAGAAGAGACUUUUAUUUUGUAAGCAAGAGAAAAUGAGAGAUAGGAGAGAGAUUUAUACCUUACGGUUAUAUAUAUAGCCUUCAGCUAAUGUGACUUAAUAUCCUUCUUAAAAGACAGUUCAAUCUUUUAAUGUCUCAUGAUAUGCAUUGGAUUUUGUAAAGUUGCUCAUUAAAGGAUGUGAGUUAUGUCUUUUUUUAUACAUGUAAAAUGAUGGAUUGUGAAAAAAAUGGUAUGCUCAAUAUCGAAAUUUUUAUUGAAUUUUUGUAUAUCUUACUUUAAUUAUAUAUAUUUAAGUUUUUCAUCUUCCAUUUUAUUUUUAAUAGGAUAUCCUCCUUGUUUUUUGUUAGUUAUGUAAUGAUGUGGCCAUUAUCAUGUGCUAAGUGGCAAAAAAGUUGUUAUGGAGUGGAAAAAAAGAACAUAGCAUAUUUUGUACCUAAGUCUUGAGAAAUUUAAAUAGAUAAAAUUAAAAGUGAAAUAACUAAAUAAAAAUAAAUGAUAUAAGAUUAGAUGCUAAGUAUUUUGUUUCUUUGAUUGUUGUCCACUCAUGAGGGUUUUUUCACUGUAAAAUAAGGGAGAAAUAUAUUGCCCUUAUAUGAGUUAAUUUGUAAGUCGCAUGCCUACUAAAUUUCACAUCAUGUAGUUUAAGCUUUUAAUAAAUUAUAGUGUUGCAUCAUUUUCUGUAAUUACAAUCGACUUUCAUUAAAAAAAGAAAGUUGCAUGAUGAAGAUGGCAUCUUAAUGCAUGUUUGGCAAUGACAUAUCAUGUAAUUGAAUGAAUCCUAGAUUAUUUAUGACUAAAAACCAGGAGGAAAUUAAUUAGUCAACAUCCUAAUACAAGAGGAAAAGGAGAACAGUAGAAAAUUAUGGAGUUUAGAUUACUUAAAACUAGGCUUAUAAUUAUAAUAUCACCAUAUAACUUGUACUUUUUUUGUGAAUCAAGUGAAGGUUGGUCAUUUUCUACUAAUCAUGGUGUCGAGCUUCGUUGUGGAGUUAAUUAUAACAUAAAGAAAACAAAAAUGUAGUCAUUGUUAAAGUUUUUUUAAAAAUAACUAAGCAAGAAUUCAACACAUAAAUUGAAAAUUUAAUAUGUGUGUUUAACAAAAUUAACCACUAAUCAUAUGCACCAAUAAAUUCUAAAAUGAGUUAUUAACAAUAACCAAAAACUAAAUCAAGAAGUUAGGGAUAAAUGUAAAUAAAGAAACAUGAUAUUAUGUCGCGAUAUACUAUUUAAUUUCUUUAUUUAAUUACAUAUCAAUAUUUUUUAGAAAAAGUUAAAACUAAAUUUAAUUAAAAUAAAAUAAUUUGCUAUCAUAGUUUCUCUUUUUUCUUAUUAAUUUGACUUCACCCUAUGAUGUCUGCAAACCUAAUGAAGCAAUAAUUCUUCAUAAAUUGUAAUAUAAAACCUUGAUUUAUGAACCUUUUUUUUCAAGGUAAAACAAUCCUUAGUGUCAUGCUCCAAUGCAAGCGGAAUAAGUAGCCCUUGUUUUGGUACUUGUGGUAAGGGUCACCUUUCAUAAAUGAUUGUUAAUAGAAGAAUUUUCUUUGGAAAGUAGUCAUCAUUUUAAUUCGAGUUGCAUUCAAUAGAAUCUAUAAUAGUUUUGAAUCAGUAGGGUGAUUAUAAGGCCCAAGUUUUGGCCUUAUAGCCUAAAGAAUCCAAAGCCUAUAAGUUCAGCCAUAGUCCCUAAACUCAAGUAUAAAUAGGGGUUUUCUUAGUCAGAAAAGAAAAAAAUACAAAAAAUAAUUGUUCAAAAAACAAAACAUAAGAACACACUACUAAUAACUCUUAAGUUUCCUCUACUCCGAAUAAUUAAUCAUUCCCUUUGGUGGAUUUUAUUUUGGUUUGGGGUUGUUGAGUGUUGAUAACAAGGUAAGAUCAUUUUAAACUUUGUCUUUAAUUUCAUAUUAUGAACAGUAGAAGGCAUACUAGGGCUUGUAGGUUGAAUUGAGGAAUUUGAUGAUUUUUUCAUAAUUAUGAUGGAAUUGAAUAUGGAUAUUGGGUUUAGGAUGUUGGAAAUAUGUUUUUGGAUGGUUAAAAUCAUUAAAUAUUGUUUUGAUGUUGUUGAGCGUAUAGUUGAGUUUUGGCAGAAUCUGAUUGAGACUGCAAGCCGAGAAUUCUAGGUUUCUCGAUCAAACGGUCAACUAGUUCAAGUGAACAAGUCGACCAAUUAUUGAACAUACUUUGCGUCGAUUGUUUGAGGUGUGGGCAGUCGACCGGUUAGAGAAACAGUAGUAGGUUAGGUAUGUUCUGUUCACUCGGUCAAACUGUUGAGGAGGUGCAGUCAACCGGUUGGGUUGUGUUCGGUAGGUCUAUUAGUUGUUCUUUUUUGGUGCAGUCUACCGUUUACUCUAUUAACUGCCGACCGACUUGUUUUGGUUGACCAGUUAGUUCAUACCAGUCAACCAUUUAAGGAGCAAUAGGGUCUUUUUCGGUCUUGUUCAUUUUGUUUUGUAUAUAUGAUUUAGUUUUGAGUAGUUUUUGAAUGUAUAUUUUAUUUCUUCAUAUAGGUUCAGCUGAUACAGCUCUAGUUGAUCCUUAGUGAGUCGAUUUGCUUAGGUUUCAUUUGCUUCCUUUUGUUUCUGUCUUUCCGGGUGAGUGGGAUAAUUUUAACUAUAUAUAUAUUGGUAUGAAAUGAUGAGUAUUUUAUUGUUAUUAUUAUUCUAGUUUUCUUCUUAAAUACUCAUCAUAUACUUGUUUGAUUUGAACAUGGUUUAUAUAUCCUUUAUAUUUGUUCAAAUGUAAUCAUACUUGCAUUAUGAAUCUUGAUAAUAAACCAUGAACCUUAUAUCCAUACUAUUUGUUCAUUUGAGUUCAUGAUUCUUGUUACCCCAUUUAAACCGCUGUCAGAAACACCAAAUUAACAUAAGGUAGUUAGUUACUUCAUGCUAACAAAUAGUAGUUAGCCUAUAUGUACAUGAUAUUUUGUUUCUUAGCUGGCGAGUAGGGUGUUAGUACUGUGCAGAUUGGCCUCCUAUAAUUAUGUGUGUGUGUGUGUGUGUGUGUGUGUGUGUGUUCCCUAGCUGAUGAGUAAGAUGUCAGUAAUAUGAUAUGUAAUUCUCACAUGCAUACCUCUUUUGUACACCAUUUAAUAUGAUACCUUUGAUAUACUUGUUUCGUUUGGUACUUGAUUUAUGUAACCAUAUUUAUUUAUCUUAAAAUGUAUAUUAGUAUGUAUUAUAGUUAUAACCUCUCACUAAGUGUUUGGACUUUACCCUUCAUUCAUAUUUUUCAGGUCCUUAGUUUGGUUUCAAUAGCAAAAUCUUUUGAUUGUGUUCUUCCUGCUUCUUUAAGUCGGUAUGCCUCGUUUUUUCCUCUAGAGUAUUAGUUUAUUCUUUAUUUGUUAUUCAUAGAUACUCCAUAGAACGAUUUUUAAUUAUGUUUUUAUCAACUCUCAACCUUGGUAGACUAAUAAAAUAAUUUAAUUUAAUUUAAUUGAGAUUUUAAAGUUAAGAUUAUUAUUAUUAUUAUACUUUUAUAUUGUUAGUAAUAUGUCUUCAUCAAGGUGAAAGGUAUAUUAGGAUACAAUUUGUUGUGAUAUGAAUAUUUCAAGUAUGAAAGCAUAAUAAUGUAUAAUCAUGGAAGGAGAUAAUAUGAUUCUGAACAUAUGAAAACAUUAUUCUUAAAGAUUAUUUUCAAAUUAACUUUAAGAGAUUGGAUCUUUAAGUGGUAAAGAUUCUUAGUUUAAUGUUUUAUAGUAAAUUAUGAUAUAACUAAGUAGGGUUACAAUAAUCAAUAAUGUUUUUUACACAAGUUAGAAAAGACUUUAAAAGGAUGAUGUUAUACACACACACACACACGUACAUGAGGGUCAUAUAGACAUUAUUCAGUAUGAAAUCCUUGAGAAAAAUGAUGUUUUAGCCUUAGAAUAACAACUCAAAAAGUAGUUGAACAAUAGCAAAAUUGACAAAAUUAGCCAAGAAAUAGGAGAGAUGGAAGCAAAACCAAGAGAAUUAUGUUUUGUGCAUAAUCUUAUUUUUUUUGUAAAAGUUUACGCAACAACUAUUUUCAUACAAAAGAUAAUGAUUAGUAUUUUUAAAUUCGUAUAAAUACUUUUUAUUUUUAUAUUUUGAGCCUUAAAAAUGGAGAGAAAAAAGUAAAAAAAUAAACACUUACAUUAUCACUACAUCUUUCUUGGAAGCUUCAUUAUUGUACCUAGUACAAUUGAUUUGCUCAUUACAUUUAUAUAAUCUUUUAGACUUUAUUUGUUCAAACUUUAUACAUGUGUGAGUAACAUCAUAUCAACUAUAUGGAUAUAUUUAUAUUGAAGCUCGUAACAACUUGUUCCUCAUACAUACAAGCAUUAUAUAUAUAUAUAUAUAUAUAUAUAUAUAUAUAUAUAUAUAUAUAUUCACUUUUGUUGCACGUGUGCGGCGUCGCGGCAAAAACAUCUACCCUCAAAAUAUUAUCUUAAAUCUAUUGAUCUGGAAAAUAUGUGGAGACAGGGAAUUCUUGUCUUUUAUUAGUGGAAAAAUAAAAUGGGAGUCACCACCUAGUAUUUUGGUUACUAGGAACCCUAACUGGUCUCAGAGAUCGGGUACGGGGACUGGUUGCGUAAAGGGAAAGUAUUAGCACUCCAAAUACGCUCUAUCUAAGGUAAGCUGCAUUGUUUUAUUGUCUGAUAAAAUUUAAAGUCUUGUUGUGUUUUCUAAUUGUUAGUCCGUCUAUGGUUUAAGAAAAGUUCUCUUCGGUAAAGAAAUACUUAUCUUAUUGGGUAAAACAUAACUGUUCUAACGUCAACAAAUAUUUUAAUAUCCGGAAUACGUCUUACGUAUAAGGUCAUAACCCCAGAUAUUAAAAGAAAACAAAAUUAUUUUUUUGAAACUUUUGAAAUAUUGGUCAGUUCUCGUGACUUUCAUAAACUGGUUAUUAAAGCCAAAUUGCAUGCUAAAACUUUUUUUUUCUAUAAAGAUACAAUAUGAUUUUUUUUUAUUAUAUAUUUUUUUAGAGAGAUUUGGUCGUAUGCAUGAAAACAAAACAUUUUUUUUAUGUUUUGACAAAAAUCAGGUAUUUUAAUACCGGAUUUGUAUCUUUACAGUAUAAAAAUACAAACCAAUAUUGAUCAAAAUGCAGUAAAAUAUUUGCGGAAAAUCACAAAUGUUUUUAAAAUAAUUUUUUAAGAAAAUUUUCUUUUUUUCUUUUUUUUUGGGGCUGGGCUGGACUUAGCCAGCCCAGCCUGGUCACUGGCCCAUGCCAGUGACCAAGCCUCAGCCAUCCAUGCACACGUAAUAUUUUACGCGUGCAUGAACAAAGCGAAGGUAAUUAAAUUCCCUUCGCACUGUUCAUCCUCCUUCUUAGCAAGAAUGAACAAAACAGAGCGCUGCAACUGACGAUUUCAGGUAUUGGCUUCUUUACGUCUGUUUGUGUUUUUUUUUUUUUUUUACAUACUAACAUGCAUCAUUUAUAUUGCAGGGACUGAGAAGGAAAGUGAACAUACCUGGUUUUGGAGUGGCGAAGACGAUGGUGGUGUUAUGUUCUCUGCUUCACCGUGUCCUUUGCUUCCGUUCAGUUUGCUUCUAUUUCUCCUUCCUCUUCUCUUCUUAUGCUUUCUCACUAUUUCUCCACUCUCUCAGUUUUUUUUUCACGCUCUCCUACGAUGUCUCCCUCAUGUUUUUCUCUGCCUUCUCUCUCUUGUCCCCCCUCUGUGUUCGGUUCUUCCUUUAGCUUUUAUAGCCAGAGGACGCAAGCGUUAUUUUGGUAACAGUCGCGUGCAUCACGGUGGCGAGGAACAUCAGUCGCGAGACGCGCCUCCUGAUUGAAAACGAUUCCCCUAUCACUGCCAACGUCUCCUGCCUUUAAUGCCACAGCUGUUAUGUUUAAGAAGACAGUGAAUAUUGCUUCAAUGGAAUGGCGCUGUUUGGAUUUCUUCUGAAUAUGGGUAACAAUAACUUUGACAAAUUCUUAUUAUUUUUUUUAUUUCUCCAUAAGCAUUUUAAUUUUUAUACGUCUCCAUUGAGGCAUAAUUAUUAGGCAUACAUUUUAUUACUUAAAUCUUUUUAGUUUUUUUUUUUUAAGGCCUUUAAAAUAGACCCUAACUAACACUAGCUCUUCUUUAACUUUAAAAUUUCUUAAUUAAAUAUACACAUGUAUACAAAAGUACUUUCUUUAUUUUAUUAGACAACCAAUAAGUGGGUGGAAUUCUCUUGUUAGGGAUGCUAAUAUAAGAAUGAAAAAGUAUUUUCUACCAAGUUACUUUCCUUAUUUUAUUAGAUAAAUUGAAAGAUAAGUCUCAAACCAAGUUCUUCAAAAUUAAAAAUCAAGCCAAGCUCUAUUGUAUACUAGAUCUAUAUAGCAUCUUUAAUAGUGGUGAGAAUCAACUUUACAUAUGGCACUUAAGUCUUAGAGGACUAGUUUCGAACUUGUCCGGACAUUCCAUAUAUACUCCCUAGGAUCACCUAGCCUAUUGUAGUUAUUCAUGUAGGGUUUGUUAGCCAUGUAUUUCAUAUAAAGUUUAGUGUCCAACAUAUGUGGAGCUAAAAAUGAAUCCUUUACCUAAUGACUAUUAUAUAGCUAUUUUCAAGUGGUUCAAAGAAAAUUGACUUGACUUCUUCUUCUUUUUG